GACGAACGCUGGCGGCGUGCUUAACACAUGCCAGUCGAACGGUGAAGCGCCUUCCUUUUUGGUGGGUGUGGAUGAGUGGCGAACGGGUGAGUAACACGUGAGUAACCUGCCCCCUUCUUCUGGAUAACCGCAUGAAAGUGUGGCUAAUACGGGAUAUUCUGGGUCUGUCGCAUGAUGGGUCUGGGAAAGAUAUUGUUUCGGUGGGGGAUGGGCUCGCGGCCUAUCAGCUUGUUGGUGGGGUGAUGGCCUACCAAGGCGGUGACGGGUAGCCGGCCUGAGAGGGUGGACGGUCACAGAGGGACUGAGACACGGCCCAGACUCCUACGGGAGGCAGCAGGGGGGAAUAUUGCACAAUGGGCGCAAGCCUGAUGCAGCGACGCCGCGUGAGAGAUGGAGGCCUGCGGGUUGUGAACCUCUUUCGCCAGUGAAGCAGGCCUGCCUCGUUUGUGGGUGGGUUGACGGUAGCUGGAGAAGAAGCGCCGGCUAACUACGUG
rnacentral:rRNA from 1 species